rnacentral:tRNA from 1 species
ACUAUUUUGGCAGAUAAGUGCAAUAAAUUUAGAAUUUAUUAAUGUGGAUUAUAUAAUAUUCUAUAAGUAGUA